GGAGAGCAAGCCCUUGGGACUGGAUUGUGAAGGCAGGGGUUAGUUAGUGGCUUGCAGCCACCUGGCGAGAGUCGGGAUUCGUUCGGGGAUCCUGACGGGAAGCUGCUCUCGGGGUACAGUGACGGUGUCGAGACCUGUGUCGGAGAGGAUUCUUCACAAGGCCACCCGUUUGUCUAUGAAAUCAUACACCUUGGAAAUCACAACAAACAAAGGCAUCACUAAGAGGUCUUUUCUACAGGCGUGAAAAGUGUGGGCUGCUCACCCAGAACUUGGGUCUCUUUGUAGUUUAGUGUCCCUUUUAGGACUUAAAAAGCUGCUUUUAUCCGGCGAAGCCACAUCCAUUGGAGCCAGGGGACAGUCUCCGGAAGCCCUCCUUGAAGUGACAGCCGUCCACAUGCAGAACUGCAGGGCUUUUGGUCUGCCGCUUUGUGGUCAGGGAUAACAGGAUCACCCACAGGAUCUGCCCACAGGGUGAAUCCAGAAAGCUCGCUGCAAUGCCCUCUACUAAUAGUUUAAUGAAAUCCCCCCUGCAACGACUUGUGACAGGGCACAGGGAUUUUCUCCAGUGUCACCACACUUCAGCGGGAGAGAUUGUGUCAUCCCGGGGCAGGUGUUCUUAGCUGUCCUUUACCUGUUGUCUCCUCAUGUCACAUACAGCCAAGAAAGCAGAUGACAGGCUCAUCUCUAUUACUCGGGGAAUUACCGAGUGGUUGCCUAGCAACUCCCACAGAGCAAUCAACACGGUCUCUGUUGUGGUAUGUAGAGUGGUUGGCUUUCCUCUGAAGAACAUUUGCAUAUUUCUCUGGGGUCUCUGGAAAAAAAUAGGUGUGUCUCCCCAGCACUGACGCUCCUCAGAUGGUCUUUUGUCUUGCCUUUCCCCAGUAUUCAUUCUACGGUAGUUCACUACCACAGUAAAUGACAAUUAUUUGCUCUGAUUAUUAAUACAGCAAAUGCUUCAGUUCAAUUCCAUUCAGUAAGUGCUUUCUAUGUUCUCCAUAGCACUCUACACACCAUAAAGAAUUACAAGGGUGAACAGUGUGGCCCCUGUUCUUAGCCAACAUGAAAUUUGGUGUAGAUAGGUGGGCAGCACGGCUCAAUGGUAGAGCAUUUACCCAACACAUACAAAACCCAGGGCAUGGUCCCCAGCCUGGGAUGGGGAGAGGGAGAGAGUGGAAUAAUGAAUGUAAUUGCUUACAUCUUUGAUAUGUAUAGAAAUUACUUGUUUACAUGUGUGAAACAACUGUGUAUAUGUGAGAUAAAGGUAUUUUUAUUUAGGAUAAUUCCUUUGUGUUUGAUCAAAGGAUUUUUUUUUUUUUUUGCUUUUAUAGACUCCUGCCUUUCUAACUUACAGCAGCAAUCAGUUCAAAAAGCUGUAAUCAGUUCAAAAUCACUUUUAAGACCCAGCUCCUAUUGGAAUCUAAAUAAUUAGCAGCUCUUAAAAGGCUCUUGCAGAGAUGUGUCGCUGCCGAUGUCUGAUAGGAUGGCGCAGCCCAGCCCCAGCCUGUACUGCAGUCUUUCGGGAUAAUUGCUGCGGUGAUGUUCACAGCCUGCACCUCUAUUUUACACAUUCUAGUUUAAAGAAGCCUCUUCCUUACCCUUCUUUGUCUGCUUUGGAGCAACGUGACUGCCUCUCUCCACUUAAGGAAGGCCUUUGGUCCUUUCUAACGCAGACCAAUAGGGAAGGGUGGAGGGAGGGCUGUAUGUCAUCGUCAAGGGGGUGACCCAAGAGUCCCCCAUCAGCAUCCGUAAGCGCAUCCAUGGACUGGAUGUCAGGAGCCAUGCCCUUUGGACACCCAGAGGGAUCCCAAAAUCUGCCAUGGAUGAGAUGGGGACCCUAAAUGUGUACAUGGAUACCAUGCUCAAAAGACUGUCUGGGCCAAAGGAGUAAGCAAUGACCCAGACUGUAUCUGUGUGUUUUUCUGGAAAAUAUGAUGAGGGUUUACAAAGCAAGUCUACCGACGGGCAGUGCAAAGGUAAGUAACUGCUUAGUAUCAGGGUUAGAAAAAGACCCUGAGGCUGGAGAGAUGGCUAAGAGGUUAGGAACACUUACUGAUCUUGCAGAGGACCUGGGUUCACUUCCCAGCACCCACAUCUCUCUCAAAAACAAAAACAAAAACAAAAAACAGUGGUAAUGGCUCUUGCUGCCUAGGCUGACAACCUGAGUUCUGUCCCCAGGACUAAUCCCAGGACACACAUGGUGAAAGCAGAAAAUCAGAUCCCGAAAGCUGUCCUUUGACCUCCACACUUAUGCUAUGGGAUGUUUCUGCCCAUCCCCGAAUACAAAUAAAUGAAAUUGAAAAAAUU